GUGCGCGCAGGGCGCAGGCGCGCGGGUCCCGGCAGCCCGUGAGACGCCAGCGGUGGGACGCGGGCGGCCGUCUGAGGUGCGGGAGCUGCGAGAGGAUGGAGCCGCCGAAGGUGGAAAAGUUCGCGACCGCCGACAGGGGAAACGGGCUGCGCGCCGUGACCCCGCUGCGCCCCGGGGAGCUGCUCUUCCGCUCGGAUCCCUUGGCGUACACGGUGUCCAAGGGGAGUCGAGGCGUCGUCUGCGACCGCUGCCUCCUCGGGUUUUCUUCCUCCAAGGAGCCUUCCCUGCUUCACACUGCUGCUUUGCUGAAGGAAAAGCUGAUGCGAUGUUCUCAAUGCCGCGUCGCAAAAUACUGUAGUUCUAAGUGUCAGAAAAAAGCUUGGCCGGACCACAAGCGGGAAUGCAAAUGCCUUAAAAGCUGCAAACCCAGGUAUCCUCCAGACUCCGUUCGACUUCUUGGCAGAGUGGUCUUCAAACUUAUGGAAGGAUCACCUUCAGAAUCAGAGAAGCUUUACUCAUUUUAUGAUCUGGAGUCAAAUAUUAACAAACUGACUGAAGAUAAGAAAGAGGGCCUCAGGCAACUUGUAAUGACAUUUCAGCAUUUCAUGAGAGAAGAAAUACAGGAUGCCUCUCAGCUGCCACCUGCCUUUGACAUUUUUGAAGCCUUUGCAAAAGUGAUCUGCAACUCCUUCACCAUCUGUAACGCAGAGAUGCAGGAAGUUGGUGUUGGCCUGUAUCCUAGUAUCUCUUUGCUCAAUCACAGCUGUGACCCCAACUGUUCGGUUGUGUUUAAUGGGCCCCACCUCUUACUGCGAGCCGUCCGAGACGUCGAGGUGGGAGAGGAGCUCACCAUCUGCUACCUGGAUAUGCUGAUGACCAGUGAGGAGCGCCGGAAGCAGCUGAGGGACCAGUACUGCUUCGAAUGUGACUGUUUCCGCUGCCAAACCCAGGAUAAGGAUGCUGAUAUGCUGACUGGUGAUGAGCGAGUAUGGAAGGAAGUUCAGGAAUCCCUGAAACACAUUGAAGAACUGAAGGCACACUGGAAGUGGGAGCAGGUUCUGGCCAUGUGCCAGGCGAUCAUAAGCAGCAAUUCUGAACGGCUUCCCGAUCUCAACAUCUACCAGCUGAAGGUGCUCGACUGCGCCAUGGAUGCCUGCAUCAACCUCGGCCUGUUGGAGGAAGCCUUGUUCUAUGGCACUCGGACCAUGGAGCCCUACAGGAUUUUCUUCCCAGGCAGCCAUCCCGUCAGAGGUGUUCAGGUAAUGAAAGUUGGCAAACUGCAGCUACAUCAAGGCAUGUUUCCCCAGGCGAUGAAGAAUCUGAGACUGACAUGGAGUCUUGCUCUGUCACCCAGCCUAGACUGAAGUGGCGCAAUCUCAGCACACUGCAACCUCCACCUCCCACGUUCUAGGAAUCCUGCCUCAGCCUCCCAAGUUGCUGGGACUACGGCCCGUGACUUGCGGGAUCCUGCUUUGUCUCAAUGCCUUCUCCACCUGGGUCUUCACUACGCCGCUCAGCAUUGGGCCGGGCACUCAGUUCCCUGAGUGAACUAUUCCACGCUUUUCAUCCUUUCUCUCCAACUAGAUGACAAACUUCUUAGGGCAGCCUUGUCUUCUAUGGUGGCUGCCUCCACCCACACACCUGAAACUUCAAAUCGCCAAGCUCUGAGAGCACAGAAGAUACCUGAUCAAUGUUUAACGACUGAAGAUAAACCCCACUGACUACAGAUUGCUUUAAGGAAAAGAUAUCAUAUGACCAUCAAUAUUAUUUGAAUUAUCUGCAUAGUCUCUAUGAUGUGGGCAGCAGAGACCGUGGCUGUUACCUACCAAUCUUCUCCUUUUCCUUGCAUCAGAAAACUGAAGCUCAGAGAGGAUAGUUAUUCCUGAAAGGUCACGUGGCUCAAGACUCUAAGUCUCCUGCUUUCUAACUUAAUAUGCUGCUAUGGCCAAUGGGACAAGCCCAACAGCAUGGAGCUCCGAGAAUAAAAUGAUGAACCAUCGCGAUGUCCAGUCGUUUCUGCUCUUACAUGGACUACAAAGGAAACGGAGAGCUCAAGGUCAUUGUCCCAGUCAUUCUCAUUCAUUUUUACUGGGGAAAUAACAAAAGCAGUACAAUUUCCCAAACUCAAAAGCCAUCUCGGAUAAAAGACGUCUCCUCUCCAGCUCUCAGCGUCUCUCGUCAUUGUAAACUCUGGCCAUGUAGUUAGGGGUUUCCUUGGAGGAGUUUUAUAACAUGUCUUAAAGAAGCUGCUUUUGAUUUAUGCUCAUCAUGUCUGACAGCCACCACUUCUCUUAAUAAUAAUCAUAAAUAAGCCAGACAAGGUCACCUAACCUGAACCAAGCGCAUCUCCACUGCCGCAUCCAUCACGGAGCGCUGGACCUACAGCAGCCGUCGUGAAGGCUCCUGCUCUCGGCGCGCCACGUGAGGUUCCAUUUCUAGCCCUACCCUGGCCUUUUCCUUUGACACUAUUUUUCUCCACCAGCCUUACCUAACUAGAGGCUCCUGGAGGACCGCAUGCAUGAAAGCACUUAGCCCAGAGCAAGGACAUGCGCAGAGCCUGCUGCCUGCUCACCAAACAGUUACUUCACACGUUUGGUUUUUCACCAUUUUCUUCCCCUUUACUCCAGUGUAACCACCAAACCAAAAAUGAAAAGUCUUGAAAAAGAAAAAAAAACAACUGUGAAAGCCAUUGAAAUAAUGAAAUGGAUCAGUAGACUCAAGGCACUAAGUCAGAGUGCAUAAAAGCACUCUGUAAGAGAGAUACACGUCACCACGCAGCGAACGCCGCACAGUCACCUGGACUCUGAAGACCGAGGCUGUGUAGAUGCUGAGAACAAGUGUUCUUUAACCAGGUACUGGGAAGGCCAGAGCAUUUUUUCCUGCUUGUUAUUUUUACUAUUAUCAAUACGUUUCAGUGCCCUGGGCCCUGGCCAUAAGACACAGCAGCCGCUAGGUUACACGGAAUGGCUUUUCAACUUGCCUUAGAUGGUGUUCUGCGCUAAGGUCUGUUGCUGAGACUGAGGGGUGAAGUGAAACAGAGUCAAAGUGUAUCAAAGACUGAAGCAUGCUGCACCUGGGAAAUAAAGAUGUGAAGGUACUGAGAGCCAUGAUGAUUCCCUACCACUCUUAGAGCCUAACACCCCCAGAGCUGAGUUCUGUGGACCGGGCUGUCUAUAUCGCAAAACCACAUCUGCCUAACUGCACGGUCCCUGGAGGUGGGUUUCUUUGAUUCCAGGAAGAUGAAUGGUUUACAAUGUGCACUUGGCCACAGCCCUUAGAUUUGUGUUGGAACAUUCCAGAGUUUGUGCUGGCCUGUGAUGGGAGAACAGGAAAAAGCAGGCCCGUGACUGAGAGAACAAGCCUGUGGGAGGCUCCACAUCUGUGUCUCACCCCAUCCUUUACUUCCCAGCAUGCUGCAGGCACCAGCCCUGCAGGGCCCUGGCAUCCGUUGUUCCUGGUACUUCUUGCCUCUGUCUUUUUCUCCCCUUACCAUCCUUUCAUUCACCUAUCCCAUGACUUCCAGGGCCACCAGCUCUGACCUGGGUCCUCUUCUCCUUGUCCAUCAUAACUUAACUGUCACGUGCCACCCAAAACUCCAAGUAAUAAGGCAGUGGGCUUUAUACAUUAGUUCUGCUGGAGUAUGUGCCUUUUGAUAGGAGAUUCUUAAAAUGGCAAAGACUGCCUGGGCGUGGUGGCUCAUGCCUGUAAUCCCAGCACUUUGGGAGGCUGAGACGGGCAGAUCACUUGAGGUCAGGAGUUCGAGACUAGCCUGGCCAACAUGGUGAAACCUCGUCUCUACUAAAAAUAUGAAAAUUAGCCAGGCUUGGUGGCACACGCCUGGAACCCCAGCUAAUUGUGAGGCUAAGGAGAAUCGCUUGAACUUGGGAGGUGGAGGUUGCAGUGAGAUAAGAUCACACCAUUGCGCUCCAGCCUGGGCAAUAGUGAGACUCCAUUCCAAAAACAAAAUAAAAGAAAAAAGAGAAAUGGCAAAGGCUUUCUCCAAAAUCAUACAUUUUGGGUACAUGGUUUGUUGGGGGGAGGAGGGGCAUGGCAGACCCUGUGGCAGGUGUGCAAACGUGACUGUCCACAAGUAUGUUUGGGGUGGGGUUGGAGAAUGGGCCUCACCCACUGGGCUUUGAAUGAGACAAACCGCAUGAUCCCACAUCCCUGAGAGAGGCCGCCAGAGUCUCACAGACCAGCACCAGCCUUACUCAAGGGGCUUCUGUAGCCACCAGGCCAUGAGGGUAGUCUCCCUCACCACAUCCUUCCACAGGCUCCAAACAGUCCACAGGACUCUUGGUUGUUGAGCAGAGGGGCACGGGGUGAGGUAAUGGAGGUGGGGGAGCCAGUCUUCCCCACAGCGAGCAGGUGUGGGUCAUGCUGUCCGCCUCCCGCCCCCGCCUUUCCACCCUGCUAUGCACCAAGAGAUUCACAGCCUUAAGGCUGAGGAGGGCACAGCACAAGGGCAGUUACUCACAGAGACACGCUCCAGGCGCUAUCCCCAGGGAGCCCGCGUGAAAGGAAAGGCCAGGCCUGGAUCCCACCGGACGCCCCCUCACCACGGGCCAGCCUGGCAGGGGCUUCAGGCAGCUCGCCCACCCACUGCCCUUCCCGUCCACGGCCCGCGCCCGCCCGUGCCCUCCCCGCCCACGGCCCUGCCCCACUGCCUACCUGAA